rnacentral:rRNA from 1 species
AUUGAACGCUGGCGGCAGGCCUAACACAUGCAAGUCGAACGGUAACAGGAAGAAGCUUGCUUCUUUGCUGACGAGUGGCGGACGGGUGAGUAAUGUCUGGGAAACUGCCUGAUGGAGGGGGAUAACUACUGGAAACGGUAGCUAAUACCGCAUAACGUCGCAAGACCAAAAAGGGGGACCUUCGGGCCUCUUGCCAUCGGAUGUGCCCAGAUGGGAUUAGCUAGUAGGUGGGGUAACGGCUCACCUAGGCGACGAUCCCUAGCUGGUCUGAGAGGAUGACCAGCCACACUGGAACUGAGACACGGUCCAGACUCCUACGGGAGGCGGCAGUGGGGAAUAUUGCACAAUGGGCGCAAGCCUGAUGCAGCCAUGCCGCGUGUAUGAAGAAGGCCUUCGGGUUGUAAAGUACUUUCAGCGGGGAGGAAGGGAGUAAAGUUAAUACCUUUGCUCAUUGACGUUACCCGCAGAAGAAGCACCGGCUAACUCCGUG